AAAGUUCUUCGGGGCAGGGUGUGAUUCCCUACCGGCGGUAAUAGUCCGCGACCCGCUACGGCGGCUGAUCUGGUGUGAUUCCAGAACCGACAGUAUAGUCUGGAUGAGAGAAGAAGGUG
rfam:Clostridium bolteae CAG:59 genomic scaffold, scf161